GACGAACGCUGGCGGCGUGCUUAACACAUGCAAGUCGAACGGAAAGGCCCUGCUUUUGUGGGGUGCUCGAGUGGCGAACGGGUGAGUAACACGUGAGUAACCUGCCCUUGACGUUGGGAUAACUUCAGGAAACUGGGGCUAAUACCGGCUAGGAGCGCCUGCUGCAUGGGGGGGGUUGGAAAGUUUCGGCGGUGGGGGAUGGACUCGCGGCUUAUCAGCUUGUUGGUGGGGUAGUGGCUUACCAAGGCUUUGACGGGUAGCCGGCCUGAGAGGGUGACCGGCCACCUUGGGACUGAGAUACGGCCCAGACUCCUACGGGAGGCAGCAGUGGGGAAUAUUGCACAAUGGGCGGAAGCCUGAUGCAGCAACGCCGCGUGCGGGAUGACGGCCUUCGGGUUGUAAACCGCUUUCGCCUGUGACGAAGCGUGAGUGACGGUAAUGGGUAAAGAAGCACCGGCUAACUACGUG
rnacentral:rRNA from 1 species